ensembl:lncRNA
AAAGCCUAUCACUUUUAUUUUGGCUGCAAAAUUGGAGAUCAGGACAAGAGGUGGGCCCCACACAUAUGCUGCAAUACUUGUGCAACAAAUCUUCACCAGUGGUUGAACAGGAAAAGGAAAUCUAUGCCUUUUGCAGUGCUAAUGAUUUGGAGAGAGCCAACAGAUCAUACCAGCAAGUGUUACUUCUGCAUGGUGCCUCCAGUUGGGAAAGGUGUGUCAAAGAAGAAAAAGUGGACUGUGUAUUAUCCAAACAUUCCAUCAGCUAUACGCCCAGUACCCCACGGAGAAGGACUGCCGGUUCCUGAUGUACCAGAAUCCUUCUCACUUGAGUCAGACGAGGAAGAGGAUGAAACUUCUGGUCCUGAACCAUCAAUGUCACAGGACCCACAUUUUCUCCCAUCCUCCUCCUCUGAACCACACCUCAUAACACAAGGUGAACUGAAUGACCUUGUUAGGGAUUUGGAACUACCCAAGAGUAAGGCAGAGCUGUUGGGUUCCGGACUACAGCAGUGGAAUCUCCUGGCAAGUGAUGUUAGGGUUUCCAUGUUCCGUGACCGUCAGAAGGAUCGUGUCCCAUUUUUCUUCAUGGAAGGUGAUUUUGUAGCCUGCAACAACAUUGAUGGUGUGAUGGCAGCCCUCAACAUCGUUCACGAUCCAGAUGAGUGGAGACUGUUCAUUGAUUCAUCGAAGACAAGUCUUAAAGCUGUUUUACUGCAUAAUGGCAAUGUUUUGCCAUCAAUUCCAGUUGGUCAUGCAGUCCAUAUGAAGGAAACCUAUGACAACAUGAAACUACUUUUGAGGUGCAUAAACUAUGACCAAAAUCAGUGGCAGCUUUGUGGCGAUUUGAAGGUUGUUGCUCUCUUGCUUGGUCUGCAGACUGGAUACACAAAGUACUGCUGUUUUCUCUGCGAAUGGGAUAGUCGUGCAAGAGAUUCCCACUACAUCAAGAAAGAUUGGCCACUCCAACAGUCAUCGGAGCCUGGGAGGAAAAGUGUUCAGCAUCCACCACUUGUUGAAUCAAGGAAGAUUUUGUUAUCACCCUUACACAUCAAGCUGGGCCUGAUGAAGAACUUUGUCAAGGCCAUUGACAAAACACAAGCAGCUUUCAAGUACCUCCGUGGAAAAUUUCCAAGGUUAAGUGAAGCUAAGAUAAAGGAAGGUGUCUUUGUUGGUCCUCAGAUUCGUGAACUUCUUCGAGAUUAUGCACCUGACGAUGCACUGCGUGGCAAGGAAAAGACGGCAUGGAAAGCCUUCCAGUUAGUGGCAAUAAAUUUUCUCUGAAACAACAAGGCAGACAACUACA